AGAGUUUGAUCAUGGCUCAGAUUGAACGCUGGCGGCAGGCCUAACACAUGCAAGUCGAGCGGUAGCACAGAGAGCUUGCUCUCGGGUGACGAGCGGCGGACGGGUGAGUAAUGUCUGGGAAACUGCCUGAUGGAGGGGGAUAACUACUGGAAACGGUAGCUAAUACCGCAUAAUGUCGCAAGACCAAAGUGGGGGACCUUCGGGCCUCAUGCCAUCAGAUGUGCCCAGAUGGGAUUAGCUAGUAGGUGGGGUAACGGCUCACCUAGGCGACGAUCCCUAGCUGGUCUGAGAGGAUGACCAGCCACACUGGAACUGAGACACGGUCCAGACUCCUACGGGAGGCAGCAGUGGGGAAUAUUGCACAAUGGGCGCAAGCCUGAUGCAGCCAUGCCGCGUGUGUGAAGAAGGCCUUCGGGUUGUAAAGCACUUUCAGCGGGGAGGAAGGCGUUGAGGUUAAUAACCUUGUCGAUUGACGUUACCCGCAGAAGAAGCACCGGCUAACUCCGUGCCAGCAGCCGCGGUAAUACGGAGGGUGCAAGCGUUAAUCGGAAUUACUGGGCGUAAAGCGCACGCAGGCGGUCUGUCAAGUCGGAUGUGAAAUCCCCGGGCUCAACCUGGGAACUGCAUUCGAAACUGGCAGGCUAGAGUCUUGUAGAGGGGGGUAGAAUUCCAGGUGUAGCGGUGAAAUGCGUAGAGAUCUGGAGGAAUACCGGUGGCGAAGGCGGCCCCCUGGACAAAGACUGACGCUCAGGUGCGAAAGCGUGGGGAGCAAACAGGAUUAGAUACCCUGGUAGUCCACGCCGUAAACGAUGUCGAUUUGGAGGUUGUGCCCUUGAGGCGUGGCUUCCGGAGCUAACGCGUUAAAUCGACCGCCUGGGGAGUACGGCCGCAAGGUUAAAACUCAAAUGAAUUGACGGGGGCCCGCACAAGCGGUGGAGCAUGUGGUUUAAUUCGAUGCAACGCGAAGAACCUUACCUGGUCUUGACAUCCACAGAACUUUCCAGAGAUGGAUUGGUGCCUUCGGGAACUGUGAGACAGGUGCUGCAUGGCUGUCGUCAGCUCGUGUUGUGAAAUGUUGGGUUAAGUCCCGCAACGAGCGCAACCCUUAUCCUUUGUUGCCAGCGGUCCGGCCGGGAACUCAAAGGAGACUGCCAGUGAUAAACUGGAGGAAGGUGGGGAUGACGUCAAGUCAUCAUGGCCCUUACGACCAGGGCUACACACGUGCUACAAUGGCAUAUACAAAGAGAAGCGACCUCGCGAGAGCAAGCGGACCUCAUAAAGUAUGUCGUAGUCCGGAUUGGAGUCUGCAACUCGACUCCAUGAAGUCGGAAUCGCUAGUAAUCGUAGAUCAGAAUGCUACGGUGAAUACGUUCCCGGGCCUUGUACACACCGCCCGUCACACCAUGGGAGUGGGUUGCAAAAGAAGUAGGUAGCUUAACCUUCGGGAGGGCGCUUACCACUUUGUGAUUCAUGACUGGGGUGAAGUCGUAACAAGGUAACCGUAGGGGAACCUGCGGUUGGAUCACCU
rnacentral:rRNA from 1 species